rnacentral:rRNA from 1 species
GAGCUAAUACACGUGUGCACUUCGGUGUCAUUUAUUAGAUUCACCAACCGCUUCGGCGUCAAGUGAUGAUUCUGAAUAUCUUGCAGACCGCAUGCGUAAGCGGCGGCAAUUCGCGAAAUUAACUGCCCUAUCAACUUUUGAUGGUAGUUUAGUUGACUACCAUGGUCGUAACGGGUAACGGAGGAUCAGGGUUUGACUCCGGAGAGGAUGCCUGAGAAACGGCAACCACAUCUAAGGAAGGCAGCAGGCGCGCAAAUUACCCACUCUCAAUUCGAGGAGGUAGUGACAACAACUAACGAGACUGCUCCCUCUGGGAACAGUCAUCGAAAUGGGUACAAUUUAAACCCUUUAACGAGGAUCAAUGAGAGGGCAAGUCUGGUGCCAGCAGCCGCGGUAAUUCCAGCUCUCAAAGUGUAUGUCAUUAUUGCUGCGGUUAAAAAGCUCGUAGUUGGAUCUGAGCCUUUGGGUACGGUUCAUCUUCUGAUGAUACUGUGUCCGGGGUUAAUUUCGUCGGUUCUCCGGCGAGAGUUACUCUGAAUAAAUCAGAGUGCUCAAAACAAGCGUUUCGCUUGAAUGUUUUUGCAUGGAAUAAUGGAAAAGGACUUCGGUUCCUUACUGUUGGUUUCGGAAUUGGAUUAAUGAUUAAGAGGGACCAACGGGGGCAUGCGUACCG